GGGCCCGUAGCUCAGCCUGGACAGAGCGGCAGCCUUCUAAGCUGAAGGUCAUGGGUUCAAAUCCCAUCGGGCCCG
rnacentral:tRNA from 1 species